rnacentral:rRNA from 1 species
UACGUAGGUGGCAAGCGUUAUCCGGAAUUAUUGGGCGUAAAGCGCGCGCAGGUGGUUUCUUAAGUCUGAUGUGAAAGCCCACGGCUCAACCGUGGAGGGUCAUUGGAAACUGGGAGACUUGAGUGCAGAAGAGGAAAGUGGAAUUCCAUGUGUGGCGGUGAAAUGCGUAGAGAUAUGGAGGAACACCAGUGGCGAAGGCGACUUUCUGGUCUGUAACUGACACUGAGGCGCGAAAGCGUGGGGAGCAAACAGG